rnacentral:lncRNA from 1 species
GGCUCUUAGUGACCUUCAGAUAAGCAUUCCCACCCACCCAUCUUUCAGAUGAGGCGGGGUGGCGUGAGUUACAGCGAAAGAGUGGCUGAACCAGGAUUCUGGACUCUAACGCCUGCCCGCUAUAGUGACCACUGCAUCUGUUUUUUAAGGAUAAACUCAGCCCCACAUAGAAGUGGCUGGCCCCAAGAAGCAAAGCAAGUCACCUGCAAGCCAGGAAGCAAGAGAUAAGACUCCAGGCUCCCAAGCGAUGGCGAUGGCCAUGACAUUUCCCUUCUCGGCCCCUCCCCAUCCCCCCAAAACAAAACACAGAAGAGGAGGUUCUGGUCUUUAUUAGCAAGCCCGGCCUGCAGCUCCCCUCCCCCCAGCCCAACCAGGCAGACAGAAAGUCGGGGUCUCUGUGUGGGGCAGGAAGAGGUACCAGUGGUUCUACUCAAAACGUGUGCACCAGCUGGACUGUGGGCAGAGUCUGGACAAUCUGGAUGGAGGGCAGGCUCUGUGGGGUCAUGCCCCCAGGCGCAGUUCCUGCAGGGACCACUUGUACCAUCUGGGAAGUGGGAGCCGCAGGGAUGCCCGCGGGGAGCGAGGCUGGGCCAGGUGGCGGUGGGGCCAGCAGCUGCAGCGUGGCGGCGCCUCCCCCAACGCUGCUGUUUUCCAGCAGCUCGGUGGCCGGGGCACUGCGGAUGAUGAGCAGUUUCUGUCCCGAGGGGCCGGGGGCAGGCGGCUCAGCCAGCCCCGGGGAGAGGGUCUCUACCUCCUGCACACACAGCUGGGUCUGCUCCCCAUCGGCCCCGCUCAGCACCAGGACGCUCUGCAAUCCCUCGUCAGUCUGCAGCGUCUCAAAGAGCACAUCCUGGACCACACCAGCGCUGGCCUCGCCGUCACCCGGCUCCCCAGGGCUGGGGCCCGCCAGUAAUUCCUCUGCUGCUCCACUCUGAACCACCAGCAGGUUGGGGGCCUCAGUGGUCACUGUUCCUGCACUAGGAUUGGACAGCUGGCCCGCCACAGACUGGAGUUGGACCGUGGUCACUUCCUGUGCCGGCUGCAGCUGGACCGUGGUCACCUCCUGUGCCUGCUGGAGCUGGACCGUGGUCACCUCCUGUGCCUGCUGGAGCUGGACCGUGGUUACUUCCGGGGCUGGCCGGAGGGGCUGGAGCUGGACCCCACUCAUUUCCUGUGGCCCCGCCUCCCCACUCCCUACAUUCUGCAGAACGAUGAGGCUCUGUCGUCCCGCGGGGGCCGACGGGAAGGCGGGGCCCCGGCAGCGGCGGGGCAGGAGUGGGGGCCGGGGAGGGGGGCGGGGGCGCGCUCCCUCCCAACGGCCCCCGGCGCGAGGCACCCA